GGCUAGGAGUGGGAGGGGCCGGUAUGCAAAAAGUGGGGCUAGAACUCAGCAGGAUUGAAGAGUGAGGCACUUUAGAGCAACGGCCAGAGAAGGAAGGGGCGUGUCCGAAGAAAAGGGGCGGAGCCGGAGGAGCGGGUAGGGGGAGGGGUCUACGAAGAGGUCGGGCCUGGGCAGGAAAAGGGAGAGAGGUAAGGUAUUGGGCCGGGCCCUGGCUCCGGGGGCAGAGCGGGAACCUGGAAAACGAUGUGUCCAGGCGUCUGGCGAGGGGAGGGAUUCAAUGAGCUGGGGGCGGGGCAUAGCCUAGGAGGCGGGGCCCAAAAAUGAAGGGUGGAGUGUUUCUGAGGAGCGGGGCAGACCAGUGGGUAAGGGGCGUGGCCUGGGUGGUGGGAUGGGCCUAUUCCACAGAGAGGCGGGGCCAAAGCCCGACGGGGCGGAAAGCUAAGGCUGGGCCUUAGAGCAAAGGCCCAAGCAGAGUCGGAGAAAGGGGUGUAUCUGGAGCGAAGGGGCCGGGUCUACGGAAUCCUCCCUGAUGCUCAACAGAGCUUCUGCUUCUCUGCCCAGACGUGGCCACCACACCUGGCAGUAUCUGUAUCCAAGCUAGAGCCUUGCUGGGGUCCAAAGGACAGCGUAUCCGGCAUCCAUCAACCAACAGCCAAUCUCCAGGUGAGCGAGUGAAUCCGUGGAUGACUAACUGGAUGGUGUUUUCCCAUGAUGAAUCUGCUGUGGCUUCCCUUGGUCACCUGCAGACCUUUGACAACCCCUGACCUCUCAGUGUCCUCCCAGAACCUAGUCCCUGCUCUCCACCCCAGGA
rnacentral:lncRNA from 1 species